CAUCCUUGAGGGAAGGAUUCCGUAUGAAUAUUAUUGUGGACACUAUUGAAUUCUUUACUCUAAUAUGAAAUUGACUUAGCUUGCGCUGUGAAAUGAUUGUAAUUCCUUUUUUUAAUUCGGAACAAAAUGGCUGAAUCAGCAUGAAUUGUAAAAGGUAGGUAUGGUUUGGUAAGACUAGCGCUGCGGAGGAUGCAAUUAUUAUACACCGCCGCGGGGUACCAGUUAUAAUGAUACUAUACAUUGCAAGGAAAUAACGAUUAAGAAUCAUGUUCGUAUUCUUUAAAAAAGGGUUUAUUAAGUUUUUCAGUGUGAUGACAAAUAAAUUGCUUUAACUUAGAAUUGUUGUAAAAUCGUCCAGAAUUUCUUGUAGAAAAUAUAUAAUACAUAACUAUGAAACAGAUUAUGUUAGUAUUUUCGAUAUUGAAGAUUAAAGGAUUAGUACAACCAAGAAAUAUUACACUUUUAAGUUCUUCAUGUGAUAAAGUUCCGUUCGAUAUUAUGGUGUUGAGAUCAAGAAGGAUCUCGCUUAUUUUGGGACAGUCCCAGAAGACAUGAGAGAUUGUUUCUCUCGGCGCAGGCCUAAGGUUUCCAAACUCGCACCGUUGACAGGUAGGUUCAUGAUUCUGGACGAAGUGUGCGAUCAUUGCAUUAUGAUAUAAUGUCUGUGCUGUAAAAUUAAAAAUAAAACUUCUCAGAUUAUUUCUUAACUUUGAGAAUCCGAAAAUCUUAUAAAAGUUGCAAUCUCUCUCGGGAUCUACAUUGUAGUUGUGUGCUAGUGCAACGCGCUUUCUAAGUCCACUCCCGGGAACAACUUCGUCCUUACUAUUGUCGAAGAUUCUACGUAUCUUAACACUACCCUUAACUAUUUUUCUAAAAAAGUUUUUUGAUACCGUAAAUGAUGGAAUUAUUUCAAGAGAGGAGUGGAUUAUAGGACUCAAUAUAUUCUUAAAAGGAAAAGAAGAUGAACAAAUCCAUUAUUGUUUCACAAUAUAUGAUCUUAAUGGAGACGGUUAUAUCAGCAGGGAAGAAAUGUUGACAAUGUUGAAAACCUGUCUGGUGAGACAAGGUUUAGAGGAGGACGGAGACGAGGGAGUUAAGGAUUUGAUAGAUAUGACCUUGAAGAAGAUGGACCUGGAUAAGGAUGGAAAAGUUUCAUUUUCUGAUUUUGAAUCAACUGUUCGGAAUGAAUGGUUAAU